AUUGAACGCUGGCGGCAUGCCUUACACAUGCAAGUCGAACGUGAAAGCGGGGCAACCCGCAAGUAGAGUGGCGGACGGGUGAGUAAUACAUCGGAACGUGUCCAGUAAUGGGGGAUAACCUAGCGAAAGUUAGGCUAAUACCGCAUACGAUCUGCGGAUGAAAGCGGGGGAUGCGGCACUAAAGGCUUUUGGCGAAGGUGGCCAAAGGUGAGUCAAGAGCUUUUAGUGCNGCACCUCGCGUUAUUGGAGCGGCUGAUGUCUGAUUAGCUAGUUGGUGAGGUAAAGGCUUACCAAGGCGACGAUCAGUAGCUGGUCUGGAGAGGACGGCCAGCCACACUGGGACUGAGA
rnacentral:rRNA from 1 species